rnacentral:rRNA from 1 species
GAUGAACGCUGGCGGCGUGCCUAAUACAUGCAAGUCGAGCGAACAGACGAGGAGCUUGCUCCUCUGACGUUAGCGGCGGACGGGGGAGUAAAACGUGGAUAACCUACCUAUAAGACUGGGAUAACUUCGGGAAACCGGAGCUAAUACCGGAUAAUAUAUUGAACCGCAUGGUUCAAUAGUGAAAGACGGUUUUGCUGUCACUUAUAGAUGGAUCCGCGCCGCAUUAGCUAGUUGGUAAGGUAACGGCUUACCAAGGCAACGAUGCGUAGCCGACCUGAGAGGGUGAUCGGCCACACUGGAACUGAGACACGGUCCAGACUCCUACGGGAGGCAGCAGUAGGGAAUCUUCCGCAAUGGGCGAAAGCCUGACGGAGCAACGCCGCGUGAGUGAUGAAGGUCUUCGGAUCGUAAAACUCUGUUAUUAGGGAAGAACAAAUGUGUAAGUAACUAUGCACGUCUUGACGGUACCUAAGCAGAAAGCCACGGCUAACUACGU